rnacentral:rRNA from 1 species
CCCUGUCUAUGUUCCUUGGAACAGGACGUCACAGAGGGUGAGAAUCCCGUGCGAUGGGGAGACCAAUUCUUUGUAAAGUUCCUUCGAAGAGUCGAGUUGUUUGGGAAUGCAGCUCUAAGUGGGUGGUAAAUUCCAUCUAAAGCUAAAUAUUGGCGAGAGACCGAUAGCGAACAAGUACAGUGAUGGAAAGAUGAAAAGAACUUUGAAAAGAGAGUGAAAAAGUACGUGAAAUUGUUGAAAGGGAAGGGCUUUUGAUCAGACUUGGUGUUUAGUACUCUCUACUCCUUGUGGGUGGGGCUCUUGCUUUAUACUGGGCCAGCAUCGGUUUGGAUGGUAGGAUAAUGGCAUUGGAACGUGGCUCCACUUGUGGAGUGUUAUAGCCCUUGCUGAUGCUACCUAUCUAGACCGAGGACUGCGUCUUUGACUAGGAUGCUGGCGUAAUGAUUAAAAGCCGCCCGUCUUGAAACACGGACCAAGGAGUCUAACGUCUAUGCGAGUGUUUGGGUGUAAAACCCGUACGCGUAAUGAAAGUGAACGUAGGUGAGGGCCCUUUUCUGGGUGCAUCAUCGACCGAUCCUGAUGUUUUCAGAUGGAUUUGAGUAAGAGCAUAGCUGUUGGGACCCGAAAGAUGGUGAACUAUGCCUGAAUAGGGUGAAGCCAGAGGAAACUCUGGUGGAGGCUCGUAGCGGUUCUGACGUGCAAAUCGAUCGUCGAAUUUGGGUAUAGGGGCGAAAGAC